ACUCCUACGGGAGGCAGCAGUGGGGAAUAUUGGACAAUGGGGGCAACCCUGAUCCAGCAAUGCCGCGUGUGUGAAGAAGGCCUGCGGGUUGUAAAGCACUUUCGGUAGGGACGAAAAGCUGAAGGCUAAUAUCCUUCAGUCUUGACUUAACCUAAAGAAGAAGCACCGGCUAACUCCGUGCCAGCGGCCGCGGUAAUACGGAGGGUGCGAGCGUUAAUCGGAAUUACUGGGCGUAAAGCGCGCGUAGGCGGUUACGUAAGUCGGAUGUGAAAGCCCCGGGCUUAACCUGGGAAUCGCAUUCGAUACUGCGUGGCUAGAGUCUGGUAGAGGCUAGCGGAAUUCCAGGUGUAGCGGUGAAAUGCGUAGAUAUCUGGAGGAACAUCAGUGGCGAAGGCGGCUGGCUGGACCAAGACUGACGCUGAGGUGCGAAAGCGUGGGGAUCAAACAGGAUUAGAUACCCUGGUAGUC
rnacentral:rRNA from 1 species